CUCUUCCGGGCUGUGAGGAAACACAGGCCUCCUCUGGGGUAGGGAUCCGGCCCUGCGCAGCCACAAUGGUGGGAGAACGAGGAGCGGAGGAGGGGGUUCUGCUGCUGUGGGAAGCAGAGGAAGAACUGCUGGUGAGCCAAGCAGUGCGUUUGCAACGUCAACGGCCACUUUCUUGCAGGUCUCCCAUAACAGAGCUGAAGGAACUAAUGAAGUAGUAUAAGAAAGCCCAAGAUGCUUUUCAAGAGGUAGCUCCGGAGGGAAGCACCUACUGGGAGCAGCUCUCGAGGAAUUUCUAAUUAAGGACUUCUUGCCAAAGGCACAUCACCAAGCUGACAUGCCUCCUGACCUGGGUAAAUACAAGGCAAGUCCCUGUCUAAUGAUUCCU